rnacentral:rRNA from 1 species
UACGUAGGGUGCAAGCGUUGUCCGGAAUUAUUGGGCGUAAAGAGCUCGUAGGCGGUCUGUCGCGUCUGCUGUGAAAACCUAGGGCUUAACUCUGGGCGUGCAGUGGGUACGGGCAGGCUAGAGUGCGGUAGGGGAGACUGGAAUUCCUGGUGUAGCGGUGAAAUGCGCAGAUAUCAGGAGGAACACCGGUGGCGAAGGCGGUGGUCUGGGCCGGCACUGACGCUGAGGAGCGAAAGCGUGGGUAGCAAACAGG